rnacentral:lncRNA from 1 species
CGGUAGUUCAAAAACUUUCAAAUGUUACGUAUUCGAGUCUAACGGGAGAGUGGUCUCUCAAAGUGUAAGUUUUCGAGAUUGCUAUAUAACAUUUGAAAGUUUCGAAUUAAAAAAUGAACUGGGUCGGAGUCAUGUAUCGGCAUAUUUGCAUGUGGUGUGUAAGUACAUCACCACGUAUAUGGGUGUAAUUUAAGUUUUGGCUCAAAUACUUAUUUGGUAUUUUGAUUAGCUUAAUUGAUAGUUUCAGUAAUUCUAGAAUUUAU